AUUUAAAUAGCUUAAGUUAGAGCAUAACACUGAAGAUGUUAGGGUAGUAUUUAUACUUUUAAAUA
rnacentral:tRNA from 1 species